rnacentral:rRNA from 1 species
GAUGAACGCUAGCGGGAGGCCUAAUACAUGCAAGUCGAGCGGUAGAGUGACUUCGGUUGCUUGAGAGCGGCGAACGGGUGAGUAACGCGUACACAAUCUACCUUUAAGAGGGGAAUAGCCCUGGGAAACUGGGAUUAAUGCCCCAUGGCAUCACGAAGUGGCAUCGCUUUGUGAUUAAAGCUGAGGUGCUUAGAGAUGAGUGUGCGUCUGAUUAGCUAGUUGGUGCGGUAACGGCGCACCAAGGCGACGAUCAGUAGGGGGCGUGAGAGCGUGGACCCCCACACGGGUACUGAGACACGGACCCGACUCUACGGGAGGCAGCAGUAAGGAAUAUUGGUCAAUGGAGGAAACUCUGAACCAGCAUCCCGCGUGCAGGAAGAAUGCCCUAUGGGUUGGUAAACUGCUUUUAUUCUGGGAAGAAAAGUACGGCAUUUAUGCUGAUCUGACGGUACCAGAGGAAUAAGACACCGGCUAACUCCGU